UACGAAGGGGGCUAGCGUUGCUCGGAAUCACUGGGCGUAAAGGGCGCGUAGGCGGCCAUUCAAGUCGGAGGUGAAAGCCCAGGGCUCAACCCUGGAAUUGCCUUCGAUACUGUUUGGCUAGAGACCGGAAGAGGUAAGUGGAACUGCGAGUGUAGAGGUGAAAUUCGUAGAUAUUCGCAAGAACACCAGUGGCGAAGGCGGCUUUCUAUGUAAAAACUGACGUUGAGGGACGAAGGCUUGGGUAGCAAUAAGG
rnacentral:rRNA from 1 species